UUAAGCGACUAAGCGUACACGGUGGAUGCCCUGGCAGUCAGAGGCGAUGAAGGGCGUGCUAAUCUGCGAUAAGCGCCGGUAAGGUGAUAUGAACCGUUAUAACCGGCGAUACCCGAAUGGGGAAACCCAGUGUGACUCGUCACACUAUCAUUAACUGAAUCCAUAGGUUAAUGAGGCGAACCGGGGGAACUGAAACAUCUAAGUACCCCGAGGAAAAGAAAUCAACCGAGAUUCCCCCAGUAGCGGCGAGCGAACGGGGAGGAGCCCAGAGCCUGAAUCAGCAUGUGUGUUAGUGGAAGCGUCUGGAAAGGCGCGCGAUACAGGGUGACAGCCCCGUACACAAAAGCGCACAUGCUGUGAGCUCGAUGAGUAGGGCGGGACACGUGGUAUCCUGUCUGAAUAUGGGGGGACCAUCCUCCAAGGCUAAAUACUCCUGACUGACCGAUAGUGAACCAGUACCGUGAGGGAAAGGCGAAAAGAACCCCGGCGAGGGGAGUGAAAAAGAACCUGAAACCGUGUACGUACAAGCAGUGGGAGCCCCACCACUAAGCCAGUGGUGAACUCCACAUACGCAUCCUUUGCUGAGGAUACGGUUAACGGAGCGAAAGCGACGUUCAACCUCAAAAGAAGCAGAGGGGGCUUAGUGGUGGGGUGACUGCGUACCUUUUGUAUAAUGGGUCAGCGACUUAUAUUCUGUAGCAAGGUUAACCGUAUAGGGGAGCCGGAGGGAAACCGAGUCUUAAUUGGGCGUUAAGUUGCAGGGUAUAGACCCGAAACCCGGUGAUCUAGCCAUGGGCAGGUUGAAGGUUGGGUAACACUAACUGGAGGACCGAACCGACUAAUGUUGAAAAAUUAGCGGAUGACCUGUGGCUGGGGGUGAAAGGCCAAUCAAACCGGGAGAUAGCUGGUUCUCCCCGAAAGCUAUUUAGGUAGCGCCUCGUGAAUUCAUCUCCGGGGGUAGAGCACUGUUUCGGCUAGGGGGCCAUCCCGGCUUACCAACCCGAUGCAAACUGCGAAUACCGGAGAAUGUUAUCACGGGAGACACACGGCGGGUGCUAACGUCCGUCGUGAAGAGGGAAACAACCCAGACCGCCAGCUAAGGUCCCAAAGUCAUGGUUAAGUGGGAAACGAUGUGGGAAGGCCCAGACAGCCAGGAUGUUGGCUUAGAAGCAGCCAUCAUUUAAAGAAAGCGUAAUAGCUCACUGGUCGAGUCGGCCUGCGCGGAAGAUGUAACGGGGCUAAACCAUGCACCGAAGCUGCGGCAGCGAACGUAUCACUUAAAGCGAUUCAGCGGAUGACGAUUGACGGAGCGAAGCGACGUCAAAGCGUAUACAAAGUCGAGUCGGUUUAAGGAUACGUUCGUUGGGUAGGGGAGCGUUCUGUAAGCCUGCGAAGGUGGCCUGUGAGGGUUGCUGGAGGUAUCAGAAGUGCGAAUGCUGACAUAAGUAACGAUAAAGCGGGUGAAAAGCCCGCUCGCCGGAAGACCAAGGGUUCCUGUCCAACGUUAAUCGGGGCAGGGUGAGUCGACCCCUAAGGCGAGGCCGAAAGGCGUAGUCGAUGGGAAACGGGUUAAUAUUCCCGUACUUGGUGUUACUGCGAAGGGGGGACGGAGAAGGCUAUGUUGGCCGGGCGACGGUUGUCCCGGUUUAAGCGUGUAGGUGUGUGUUCCAGGUAAAUCCGGUUCACUUUAACACUGAGGCGUGACGACGAGGCACUACGGUGCUGAAGCAACAAAUGCCCUGCUUCCAGGAAAAGCCUCUAAGCAUCAGGUAACAUCAAAUCGUACCCCAAACCGACACAGGUGGUCAGGUAGAGAAUACCAAGGCGCUUGAGAGAACUCGGGUGAAGGAACUAGGCAAAAUGGUGCCGUAACUUCGGGAGAAGGCACGCUGACACGUAGGUGAAGUGAUUUACUCAUGGAGCUGAAGUCAGUCGAAGAUACCAGCUGGCUGCAACUGUUUAUUAAAAACACAGCACUGUGCAAACACGAAAGUGGACGUAUACGGUGUGACGCCUGCCCGGUGCCGGAAGGUUAAUUGAUGGGGUCAGCGCAAGCGAAGCUCCUGAUCGAAGCCCCGGUAAACGGCGGCCGUAACUAUAACGGUCCUAAGGUAGCGAAAUUCCUUGUCGGGUAAGUUCCGACCUGCACGAAUGGCGUAAUGAUGGCCAGGCUGUCUCCACCCGAGACUCAGUGAAAUUGAACUCGCUGUGAAGAUGCAGUGUACCCGCGGCAAGACGGAAAGACCCCGUGAACCUUUACUAUAGCUUGACACUGAACAUUGAGCCUUGAUGUGUAGGAUAGGUGGGAGGCUUUGAAGUGUGGACGCCAGUCUGCAUGGAGCCGACCUUGAAAUACCACCCUUUAAUGUUUGAUGUUCUAACGUGGACCCGUGAUCCGGGUUGCGGACAGUGUCUGGUGGGUAGUUUGACUGGGGCGGUCUCCUCCUAAAGAGUAACGGAGGAGCACGAAGGUUGGCUAAUCCUGGUCGGACAUCAGGAGGUUAGUGCAAUGGCAUAAGCCAGCUUGACUGCGAGCGUGACGGCGCGAGCAGGUGCGAAAGCAGGUCAUAGUGAUCCGGUGGUUCUGAAUGGAAGGGCCAUCGCUCAACGGAUAAAAGGUACUCCGGGGAUAACAGGCUGAUACCGCCCAAGAGUUCAUAUCGACGGCGGUGUUUGGCACCUCGAUGUCGGCUCAUCACAUCCUGGGGCUGAAGUAGGUCCCAAGGGUAUGGCUGUUCGCCAUUUAAAGUGGUACGCGAGCUGGGUUUAGAACGUCGUGAGACAGUUCGGUCCCUAUCUGCCGUGGGCGCUGGAGAACUGAGGGGGGCUGCUCCUAGUACGAGAGGACCGGAGUGGACGCAUCACUGGUGUUCGGGUUGUCAUGCCAAUGGCACUGCCCGGUAGCUAAAUGCGGAAGAGAUAAGUGCUGAAAGCAUCUAAGCACGAAACUUGCCCCGAGAUGAGUUCUCCCUGAGACUUUAGGUCUCCUGAAGGAACGUUGAAGACGACGACGUUGAUAGGCCGGGUGUGUAAGCGCAGCGAUGCGUUGAGCUAACCGGUACUAAUGAACCGUGAGGCUUAACCUU
rnacentral:rRNA from 1 species